rnacentral:lncRNA from 1 species
GGUGAUGGAGUCGUACAGAUCCUUGGUGGCGUGGCUGUGGUUGGCGCCGCCGAUCACCUUGGCCUCCUCGUCCGAGAGGCACUUGAUGCCGCAGGUGGGCUUCCAGUGGAACUUCACGUAGUUGACCUUGCCGGCCUUGUUGAUGAGGGUGAAGGUGUGCACGCCGAAGCCCUCCAUGUGCCGGUAGUCCUGCGGGAUGCCGUAGUCGUCGAAGAAGAAGGUGAAGGUGUUGAGGCUCUCCGGGAUGUGGGAGAAGAAGUCCAGGUAACGCCAUGUUUCCUGGAUGUGGGAUUUCGGGUUCGGUUUCAUCGCGUGGAUCAGGUCCGGGAACUUCAUCCCGUCCCGGAUGAAGAACACCGGGAUGUUGUUUCCCACCAUGUCG